rnacentral:rRNA from 1 species
GAGGGAAAGGCGAAAAGAACCCCGGCGAGGGGAGUGAAAAAGAACCUGAAACCGUGUACGUACAAGCAGUGGGAGCACCCUUUGGGGUGUGACUGCGUACCUUUUGUAUAAUGGGUCAGCGACUUAUAUUCUGUAGCAAGGUUAACCGUAUAGGGGAGCCGUAGGGAAACCGAGUCUUAACCGGGCGUUAAGUUGCAGGGUAUAGACCCGAAACCCGGUGAUCUAGCCAUGGGCAGGUUGAAGGUUGGGUAACACUAACUGGAGGACCGAACCGACUAAUGUUGAAAAAUUAGCGGAUGACCUGUGGCUGGGGGUGAAAGGCCAAUCAAACCGGGAGAUAGCUGGUUCUCCCCGAAAGCUAUUUAGGUAGCGCCUCGUGAAUUCAUCUCCGGGGGUAGAGCACUGUUUCGGCUAGGGGGCCAUCCCGGCUUACCAACCCGAUGCAAACUGCGAAUACCGGAGAAUGUUAUCACGGGAGACACACGGCGGGUGCUAACGUCCGUCGUGAAGAGGGAAACAACCCAGACCGCCAGCUAAGGUCCCAAAGUCAUGGUUAAGUGGGAAACGAUGUGGGAAGGCCCAGACAGCCAGGAUGUUGGCUUAGAAGCAGCCAUCAUUUAAAGAAAGCGUAAUAGCUCACUGGUCGAGUCGGCCUGCGCGGAAGAUGUAACGGGGCUAAACCAU